UCUAUGCUAAGCUGAAAGGCGACGUAUAUGGGCUGACACCUGCCCAGUGCUGGAAGGUUAAGAGGAGGAUUGAGAGAUUCAAAUUGAAGCCCCAGUGAACGGCGGCCGUAACUAUAACGGUCCUAAGGUAGCGAAAUUCCUUGUCGGGUAAGUUCCGACCUGCACGAAUGGUGAAAUGAUUUGGGAGCUGUCUUGGCUGGAGACCUGGUGAAGUUGUAAUGUCGGUGAAGAUACCGACUACCUGUAGUAGGACGGAAAGACCCGUGGAGCUUUACUGUAGUUUGGCAUUGGGUUUUGGUAAUGUGUGUAUAGAAUAGUUGGGAGACUGAGAUAUUAAGACGCUAGUUUAAAGGAGUCAAACUGUGGAAUACCAACCAUAUAUUAUUGAAAUUCUAAUCAAGAAAUUGAGACAGUGCUAGAUGGGCAGUUUGACUGGGGCGGUCGCCUCCUAAAGAGUAACGGAGGCGUUCAAAGGUUCCUCAGGUUGGAUGGAAAUCAACCAGAGAGUGUAAAGGUAUAAGGGAGCUUGACUGCGAGAUUGACAGAUCGAGCAGGUGCGAAAGCAGGACUUAGUGAUCCGGCGGUGCUGUAUGGAAAGGCCGUCGCUUAACGGAUAAAAGCUACCCCGGGGAUAACAGGCUGAUACUUCCCAAGAGUCCAUAUCGACGGAAGUGUUUGGCACCUCGAUGUCGGCUCGUCUCAUCCUGGGGCUGGAGAAGGUCCCAAGGGUUGGGCUGUUCGCCCAUUAAAGAGGCACGCGAGCUGGGUUCAGAACGUCGUGAGACAGUUCGGUCCCUAUCCACUACAGGCGUUAGAAUAUUGAAAAGAUCUGUCCCUAGUACGAGAGGACCAGGAUGGACAAACCUCUGAUGUAUCAGUUGUUACGCAGUAGCAUGGCUGAGUAGUUACGUUUGGAAGGGAUAAUCGCUGAAAGCAUCUAAGUGAGAAACCCACUUUGAGAUAAGUAUUCUUUUUUAAGUAUCCACUGAGACUAAGUGGUUGAUAGGUUGGGGGUGUAAGUGUAGUAAUACAUUUAGCUGACCAAUACUAAUAAUACGUAGGCUUUGUAUU
rnacentral:rRNA from 1 species